GACGAACGCUGGCGGCGUGCCUAAUACAUGCAAGUUGAGCGCUGAAGGUUGGUACUUGUACCGACUGGCUGAGCAGCGAACGGGUGAGUAACGCGUGGGGAAUCUGCCUUUGAGCGGGGGACAACAUUUGGAAACGAAUGCUAAUACCGCAUAAAAACUUUAAACACAAGUUUUAAGUUUGAAAGAUGCAAUUGCAUCACUCAAAGAUGAUCCCGCGUUGUAUUAGCUAGUUGGUGAGGUAAAGGCUCACCAAGGCGAUGAUACAUAGCCGACCUGAGAGGGUGAUCGGCCACAUUGGGACUGAGACACGGCCCAAACGACUACGGGAGGCAGCAGUAGGGAAUCUUCGGCAAUGGACGAAAGUCUGACCGAGCAACGCCGCGGGAGUGAAGAAGGGUUUCGGAUCGUAAAACUCUGUUGGUAGAGAAGAACGUUGGUGAGAGUGGAAAGCUCAUAAAGUGACGGUAACUACCCAGAAAGGGACGGCUAACUACGUG
rnacentral:rRNA from 1 species